rnacentral:misc_RNA from 1 species
UCUUUCAGAGAUGAAUCACAA